UCCCGACGGUUUUGCUUCGGUCCGGUUCGCUCGUCCUAUCCCUAAUACUGGUCCGAGUGCCAUUGCGAUUUUUCUCACCAUGUUUGGUGCUUUCUCGUGGGGAAGGUACCAGGUUGGACAGGGUAACAAGAUCCGAAGCAAGAGUAUUCAACGGCGGCGGUGCUCCCGUUUUUUCACAUGCAUCAAUGGGUAUGAUAUAAUUUAUCAAAAUUAUGGUUGGUAAGAGUUGAAGAAUUGAGAAGAAGAGUGAGAUGGAGCAAGUCCCAAGAGUCAAACUAGGUAACCAUGGCUUAGAGAUUGGUUCAUUUCUUAUGGGAUGGUUUGGUGUUGAAUUCAAAAAAGACAUAUCUCAUGUGUCAGAGCAUCUAGCCAUAGGAAUAAUGACUGGUUACUUGGGGAGCCUUACAACCUUCAGUGGUUGGAAUCAAAAAAUGCUUGAACCCAGUGCUUCCGGUCACUGAGUCAUCUGUGCAUUGGGCUUUAUAGUAGGUUUAUCUCUUGUUGUCGUCUCCAUCGCAUUUGGGGUUGAAAUUGCAAAGGGUUUUAGGUGGCUUCUCAACAGGCUGAAUAUUGCAAGUCUAGAAAAUGGCAUCUCUAACUACAAAGUAAACAGCUACCAUCGCCAAUGUAUCAGCUGCUUGUGUUAUGGCUGCACUUUCUACUAAAAAGAAUGCAAUGUUUUUGAGAGGUUUAAAGACAACACUGGAAAUUUUAAGGCAUGUCUUGUGAAAGAUGUACAAGGGAUGUUAAGUUUGUAUGAGGCAUCGUUUAUGUCUUAUGAAGGAGAAAACAUUUUGGAUGAAGCAAAUUCCUUCACGAGUUUCCACCUUAGAGGAGUUCAUGGCAAUAUAAGCAAUUUUCUUUUUGAACAAGUGAGUCAUUCAUUGGAACUUCCACUGCAUCGUAGAUUUCAAAGGCUUGAAGCUAGAUGGUUUAUUGUGUUAUAUGGAAAAAGAAAGGAUGCUAAUAAGGUGUUGCUUGAAGCGGCUAAGUUGGAUUUCAACAUCGUGCAAUCAAAUCUACAACAAGAUCUUAUAGAAAUGUCAAGUACAUUCCACAAAUGAUGGGAUCAAUUCAGUUGCCGCACUGACCGGUCUGGGUUGAUCACUGCAGCUCGUUGGUCAGUCCUUAAUAGUUUUGCACCUCUUACAGUAGCUAGUAACCAUUUUAAUUAGGUUUUUGUACAUCUGUGCAGGAUAAGUCUCCCGAAUUAGUUGCAAUGGGAAACCCUUUCUUUUAACGCCGGUGAUAUUUUCGCAAUGAUUGUUGCUUCUCUUGUUGCCAUUGUAGAGAGACUGAACAAGAGGUUGCUUUGGCGAUUUGUAGGGGAGUAGUUGACUUUAAGAGGGAGCCUUAGCCUCAGAUUUUUGACAGUGCCAAGGGUCUCGUGCCUCAACAUUUAGGUGUCCAUUCUGUUUCAACAAAGAAUAUUAUUUUUGAGUGAGCUUUGGAGACAUACUUCAAGAAUUGUUGGUUAUGGGGAAUUGCUUAGUGAGACUAUGAUAGAAAUUGCUAGGUCUAGAUUGUAAGAAUCUAAUAAAUAAGAACAUGAAAAGUUCGAUUGUAAAAUUUUAAGUAUAUAAUAUUUUUUUUUGUAAGUAGUUCUAAUUUACAUAAUAUGAAAUGAAACUUAAUGUUUGAAUUUAAUAAAAAUUUACAUAAAUGUUUAGAUUAAGUUA